CUCUAGUUACUACAGGAGGUGCCCCUCUUGUUAAUUUCCACUAGGAAGGUCUUAACUUGCUGGACGAGCAAUAGACUGUUUUGUGUUUGCUGAAACACUUUUUAGAUCUCAAUUAUAUUCCACAUAAUCUUUGCCUGCAGAAGGAAGAUACGGGUUUACUGUUUUUCUUCAUGGAGAGAAAGAUAACUGCUGAGCCACGGUCUCUCCCCACUAAAAGUCAACUGCUGCUUCCUCCUCUGUUGCCCAAGGGAACAGUUUUGCCAUUGAACCUGCCGACAGCGCAGGACCCAGCUACAUCAGCAUCCGAGCCUGAGAGGACUCCGCCAGAUAAUCCAAAUGGACUGACACAGUAAAUCGCUAUCAAGAGUGAUUUCAAGCAUUCUUCUUUGUCAAAAACCUGGCGCCUACAUUACCCACAACACUAUUUGACUGCCAACAGUUCGGUCGGAGAUUCGGGUGUGUUAUGCUAGUAGCAGCUAAUGUAGCCUGGACCUGCUAGCCUCAAGCAGAGAUGAAGAAUGGGCUACAGAGGUCGGAGAAAUGUGACUGAAUGGUAGCCAGCAGUGACAAGUUGUCUACUGUGGCGCACCCGGGUCUCUUUGACCCGCCGCCCGGGGCAGCACUGGGCCUGAAAGGCAAGAGAAUACAACACAAGACAAAGACAUAGACACCGCACCUAGGUUUGACGCCACCCGGGGCAGCGCUUGGCUGCUGGGCUACCGCCGCCAUAGGAUGAUGCCAAACACCCGGGGUCCCUUUGACCCUUUUGUCAGUGGAUGUGCGCCAAGCAGACCACGCCGACGUUCAGCGAACCAUCAGGUCUGGACAUAGAGAGAAGAGCAGAGAAAAGAGACAGAACAGUGGCCGCUGACCCCUUUUUAUUGACCUGGUGACAUCACUGGUCACAGGUCACACUGAUCAAUGGCAGCUGGAAGGCUGCGUUCAAUGGCUCUCUGGAUUUUGGAAUGAAACGGAGCCCCUUUCAGCAUGUAUUUUGAAUUGACAUCUGCAGCCAGCCAAUCUGCACUGGGCCUUGGUGGGGAACAGCUGCUCGUCGAUGGUUAUGUUGGCACCGGGCUUGUAGCAGGCUGUGCUGUUCUGAACGAUCUUGCUCCAAGUGGCCAAUACCAGGGCAUCCUGCAGACGCACACGUCGGGUCUCUUUUUUUAUCGAACUGCAGGAAUCUCUUCAUCUCCCUGAAGCGAUUUCUGGCCAUGGUUUCCUUGAAUAACGGAAAGCCCCAUUUUUCUGACCAAAGGCUGCCCAACUCCAUGUUUUUUGCACCCUGUUACUGGAUAUACAACAGGGCUAUGAAGACUUUCACUUCAGCCACUGUCAGGUCAUGAGCUGUCACCACGCUGCUGAUGUGCCUCAGCCUCAGUGCAGUCCCUGAUAUGUUUCAGCAUGCCAUCAUCAAACACACACAAGAAGGCCGUGAGCGCAUCUCCGAUGUUUCGCUUCGUGUGUGCUGUGGGGCCAGCACAAUAGAACAAUAGAAUAGCGCGAAGUUCACUGCAUUCAAUAUGAACGUGUAGGGCCGAAAUAGGUCAAAAUUAUCAAAUUUUCUUUGUGUUUUGUGUAAUUUAUAUAAAACCUAUUGUAAAUAAAAAUACAGACACUUUUAGGAAAACUCAGGUACCAGCAAGAUUCUAUUUUUUUAUUCAACAUAUUGCACAUAUAAAUUUCAAAACGGUCAAAAUGACUGUCGUGGCCGUUCUACAUCACCACCUUUUAUAGAAUGAGGCCAGUCGAGAGCAGUGUUGCCAGAUUGUGUGUGUGUUUUUUUUUUUGUUUGUUUUAUUUGAUCAGGUAAAAAUGGUUUUGGGCAGCUUGUGAUACUUUCUGUAUCAUUUGGGUGAUUUUCUCCCAACAAAAAAGUUAAGCUACGUUCCAUUCAAUGACCCUGUACUCUCCUUUGUCAAUGAGAUGACAGGACACUGAGUUCAAUAGGCUCAACAUGCAAAUAAGUGAUAACUAACCAACAAGACCAAAUGUCAUUUUAGUUCAUUACAACCAGCUGAUCAAAUAACUAUUCAUAUUGUUAUUUGGUCACUUAUAUUAAUAAAUCGGGCGCACCCAUAAGCUCACCUGAUAGAGCGGACAUUCUUACCGCAGCUGCUGGGGUUCGAUUCCCGCCUGGGGCCCUUUUCUGCAUGUCAUCCCCUCUAUCUCCCCCCUUCUCUUGUCUCUCUUCAGUUAGUCCCUAUCUAAUAAAGGAAAAAAAUCAUCAUUAACACUAGAACCGCCAGGAGUCCCGAUAUCCCAGCACUUCAGGCAUUUACAGAAUGCUUUAUUGUGUUUGCAUUCCGCCUUCACCAUACAGGUCAUUUUCUCCUGCGCUCUGCACCUGUGAAGGACAUGUCCACGCACGGUGACUCUUUUGAUGCCAUCCACGCCGCACUGUUGUAGUUUUCUUCUAAACACAGUCUGAAUUUGAAUGCAGCAUAUAAUUUUAGAAAAAACUAUUGACUAUUGUAUGGCCUACAUAAUAAUAAAGGUGUUAAAAUCUAUACACAAUCUCUAAAAUCUAUAAUAACCACUUUUGAUAAACAAAUAGGCCUACACUGAGGUCAAAACAGCAUAUAUAUCGUUGGUGACUGACCCUUCAUUUUCACCUGAUGAAUCGUCUUCAUCUGAGGAGUACAGGCCUUCACCCCCUCAAAGAUGAAGAAGAAGAGAAGGCCUAGGCUGUCGUAAUUCACGAUCUAAGGACCCAAAAGCAGAACACAGCGAGGUGGAGAACUGGAUAGUAGUUUUUAACAGUUUUUAUUGUAAAUAAGCACUGGUCGUUGAGCGCUCUUCCAGAGCGGGCGGGUCAGGUGUAGUCCGCUGGAGACAGGAGUGCAGUCUGCCGACACAGUCCGUGGAGGACCGGCUGGGUUCAGAGGGCGGAGGCGUUGAGUGGGGCUUCUGGAUAUGGCUUGUAUAGUGUGGCAGGUAGAACAGCAAAGCAGCUGGCUCAUGUAGCGUGGCAGGCAGAACAGGAAAGCGACGUUGCAGAGAUCAGAGAGCACACGGUGGCUGCAAUCACCAGCAGGGAAUGACUCUGUGGCAGAGACAGACAGGGUUACACAAGAUACGACAACGAGUAACAAUAAACUUAACUGGGUCGAGUACGGAGACAAUCUGGCACUGGUUGUGAGGUAGAGCCAGGUAGAUAUACUGUGGAGACUGAUUGGAUGAUGAACGUCAGGUGUGCCGGUGGUCAGCAGCAGGAGGGAAAACCAGGGCGCCCCACCCAGGCUGGUACACACACACCCACACACACAGCGAUGAACAGAGGACUGACAAGGAACACAGGGAGAGGAGAGCACACUAGAGUACACAAGGAUAGGGAGAGAGAUGUGGCUAAUUAUGACAUAGGCUUCUGGUAACAGAUAGGAUCCUACAGUACAACUUCAAAAUGACAAAGCUCAAAGCUCUAGCUAUGGCAUAAACCAAACAUCACAAUCUAAUGUAACCUAUAAUUACUCUCAAUAGAGCGACCACCCACCUUGCCCAUAUCACCACUGCGGGACACCCCUGCUGUUGGAGCACAAAUGACAGGUUCAUGUGAGCUUGGGCAUGAGACGGGCAAGGACUGGUCGGUUUGGAGAGCUAUCCAGCCAGGACCAUGCACCAGGAGAGUGCAGUCCCAAAACAUUUUAGAUCCUUCAAGUGCAUUCAUGUGCAUGAUGGACAGAGUGAUGUUACAGCACAUCCAUGACCUCACAGUGACAGAGGCGCACCAGCGGAUGGCUGGGAGUUGAGCGUGGCUGAGUUGAAGGCCUUUAUCGCACUGCUCUUAGCCAGGGGAGAUUACAACGCUAAGUAUAAAUAUGUUAGUCUAUUAUUAGGAUGUAACAAACAACACGGUAGGAUGAGUAAUGUACAUACAGUGCAAUUUAUUAGAAAUAAACUCAAGCCAUAUUCUAGUAUAUUUUUAUAAAUUCACUGCGGACUUCACUGAAUACAUGCCGAGAAAACCUGACAAAUUCGGAAUCAAGUUCUGGAUCGCUGCUGAUGUGGAGACGAAAUAUAUCGUGAAUGGACAUCCCUAUCUGGGGAGGGACCCGACCCGUAACACAGAGUCUAGGAGAGAGUGUGGUUCUGAAGUUGAUGGAGCCUUAUUUGGGCAAGGGGAGAAAUGUAACAACAGACAACUUUUUUACAUUGCUCCCAACUGGACCUGGCCGCAAUUAAUGAAUGUGUCCUGUACUGGAGCUGCAUGGAGACAAAUAUCACCAGGCAAGAGUUCAUCUUGGAGCUCUGCAAGCAGUUGCGCAUCACAAACACCAAAUGUGCCGCUGUCCAUGUCGACUGAAGACAAGAAAUUGCGGUGUAAAGCGGAAAUGCAGUGUUUGGAAAGCGAACCAUGAAAGUUUAUGCAAUGUGUAGUGGUAAGUUGUGUGUGUGUGUGUGUGUGUGAGUGAGAGAGGGAGAGUGCGUGCAUGCGUCUUUUCCUGCGGAAGCUCCGGUUCCGUUCGUUUUCUCAGUGUAAACAAAAUAAUCCUUUAUUAUUAAAACGAUGUUUUAAAUUUUAGGUGAUUUUCUUAUUCUACAUUGAUUAAAUUAUUGUAAUAUGUUCAUGUUUUAAUUUAGUGGUUUAAUAAAGCACAAUUCUAAAAUGAAUAAACUUCAUAAACUGAAUUUUAAAAAGUUGUUUUGUCAAGUCUUACAUAUAUACUAUACAUAUAACUUCUAGAAAUGACCUGUUUGCGAUUUCUGACGUUGUUGCAUUAGGGGGUAAAAAUGACCCCAUGGUGUUCUAUCUAGGAGGUAUUAGAAUGUUGGCAG